GGGAUUGUGGCUCAGUGGCAGAGCGCUUGCCUCGCAAGUAUGAGGCACUCUGUUUGACCCUCAGCACCA
rnacentral:tRNA from 1 species